UACGUAGGGUGCAAGCGUUGUCCGGAAUUAUUGGGCGUAAAGAGCUCGUAGGCGGUUUGUCGCGUCGGCUGUGAAAAUCCCCGAGGCUCAACCUCGGGGCCUGCAGUCGAUACGGGGCAAACUAGAGUGUGGUAGGGGAGACUGGAAUUCCUGGUGUAGCGGUGAAAUGCGCAGAUAUCAGGAGGAACACCGGCGGCGAAGGCGGGUCUCUGGGCCAUAACUGACGCUGAGGAGCGAAAGCUAGGGGAGCAAACGGG
rnacentral:rRNA from 1 species